rnacentral:rRNA from 1 species
UACGUAGGGGGCAAGCGUUGUCCGGAUUUAUUGGGCGUAAAGAGCGUGUAGGCGGCCAGAUAGGUCCGUUGUGAAAACUCGAGGCUUAACCUCGAGAUGUCAUCGGAAACCAUUUGGCUAGAGUCCGGAAGAGGAAAGUGGAAUUCCUGGUGUAGCGGUGAAAUGCGCAGAUAUCAGGAAGAACACCAAUGGCGAAAGCAGCUUUCUGGGACGGUACUGACGCUGAGACGCGAAAGCGUGGGGAGCGAACAGG